rnacentral:rRNA from 1 species
CUACGGGAGGCAGCAGUGGGGAAUAUUGCACAAUGGGGGAAACCCUGAUGCAGCGACGCCGCGUGAGUGAAGAAGUAUUUCGGUAUGUAAAGCUCUAUCAGCAGGGACGAUAAUGACGGUACCUGACUAAGAAGCCCCGGCUAACUACGUGCCAGCAGCCGCG